AUUGAAACUCCAUUUCUCUGCCACAAAAAGCUCCCCCGCCCCAACUCCCCUGGGAUCAACAGCACAAUUCUAAACCCAAAAACAUAAAAAAAUGGCAGCAAGUGUAGCAACAAUGGCGAUGCUCAAUGCAAAAUGCCUAAGCAUCAGCUCAACUAAGAUGAGCAGCCCAACAAAGCCAACCCCAAAGCCCUUCUCCCUUCUCUCCAUGCAGAACCUCCCCAAAGGCCUCACCAUCUCAAAACCAGCCAACAACUCAAACCUACCGUCUUCACUCGCUGGCAGCGCCAUUGCUGGAGCUAUCUUCUCAACCUUGAGCUCAUGUGACCCCGCCUUAGCUGCACAACAGAUUGCUGAAAUAGCUGAAGGAGACAACCGUGGGCUAGCUCUAUUGCUUCCCAUAAUCCCAGCGAUCGCUUGGGUCCUCUUCAACAUCCUCCAGCCAGCACUUAACCAGCUGAACCGAAUGAGGAGCUCCAAAGGGGUUAUCAUAGGGCUAGGGCUCGGAGGAUUGGCUGCAUCAGGGUUCAUGUCAACACCGGAAGCAUCGGCCAGUGAGAUAGCUAUGGUAGCUGAUGCUGCAUCUAGUGACAAUAGGGGUACCCUUCUCCUCUUCGUUGUAGCACCAGCUCUUCUUUGGGUGGCCUACAACAUUCUGCAACCGGCUUUGAACCAGCUUAAUAGGAUGAGAUCUCAGUGAGAUUGUGGAUCUUGUAUGGGGUGUAAUGGCAUGUAAAUUACCUGUAAUUGCACCUUAUGUUAAUGAAGCUUUCUCGUUAUUUACUUUAAACAAAAAAUAACAAAUUUUCCUUGGUUAUAGUUCCAUUAAUUUCAUCCCUUAUAAUCUAUAUAUUCGUAUUAUUAUAUUUAUGUCAUUUUUUAAUAUAAUUGUAUUAUCGAAGUUAAUAUAAUUUUAAGCUUUUACAUAAAA
rnacentral:lncRNA from 1 species